rnacentral:rRNA from 1 species
UGGGGAAUAUUGCACAAUGGGCGCAAGCCUGAUGCAGCUAUGCCGCGUGUAUGAAGAAGGCCUUCGGGUUGUAAAGUACUUUCAGCGAGGAGGAAGGCGUUGUGGUUAAUAACCGCAACGAUUGACGUUACUCGCAGAAGAAGCACCGGCUAACUCCGUGCCAGCAGCCGCGGUAAUACGGAGGGUGCAAGCGUUAAUCGGAAUUACUGGGCGUAAAGCGCACGCAGGCGGUCUGUCAAGUCGGAUGUGAAAUCCCCGGGCUCAACCUGGGAACUGCAUCCGAAACUGGCAGGCUAGAGUCUUGUAGAGGGGGGUAGAAUUCCAGGUGUAGCGGUGAAAUGCGUAGAGAUCUGGAGGAAUACCGGUGGCGAAGGCGGCCCCCUGGACAAAGACUGACGCUCAGGUGCGAAAGCGUGGGGAGCAAACA